GACGAACGCUGGCGGCGUGCUUAACACAUGCAAGUCGAACGAAGUGGCGAACGGGUGAGUAACGCGUAAUCAACAUGCCCUUCAGAGGGGGACAACAGUUGGAAACGACUGCGAAUACCGCAUACUGAAGGAGGGGAUUGUGUCUGAUUAGCUAGUUGGAGGGGUCACGCCCCACCAAGGCGAGGAACAGUAGCCGGUCUUCUAGAAUGAACGGCAACAUUGGGACUGGGACACGGCCCAGACGCCUGCGGUAGGCAGCAGUGGGGAAUUGUCCGCACUGGACGAAAGUCUGCCGGUGCAACGCCGCGUGAGUGAUGACGGCCUUCGGGUUGUAAAGCUCUGUUAAUCGGGACGCGGUACCGGAAUAGAAAGCCACGGCUAACUACGUGCCAGCAGCCGCGGUAAUAC
rnacentral:rRNA from 1 species